rnacentral:misc_RNA from 1 species
UCUCCGUUGGUGAACCAGCGGAGGGAUCAUUACCGAGUUCCAGCACCUCCCCAGCCUUGCGUACCGUAUCUUCGUCUGUUCUCGUUGCUUCCAGCAGGCGGGGGGGCCCACCCGGCCCCGCCCCCUGCCGGCGGCGGCGGGCCCUCUGAACCUGUCUAUCUCAACCACUGAAACCCGUCUGUGCAAAACAAAAAAUAAUCAAAACUUUCAACAACGGAUCUCUUGGUUCUG